rnacentral:sRNA from 1 species
AAUUUGUUAAGGUGAGUGUGUGACCAUGAGCUUAUCUGAGCGAUUGGGUUGUAUGAUUUGUUUUGUGUGAUGAUAUGUAGGUGUGGUGAAUGUGUUUUUGGGUGAAUUGUUCAAUGACUGGUUUGUUUAUGUUGUAUUUGUGAUUAUUCCCCUUUUAAUUGCUUGUGUGUAUAGCUCGUAGAUGGGAGGAUCGUCUCCCUAAGUAUUUGUGAUAAUACUUACGCAUCUCUUUAUUUUUGGUGCAGGUAAAGAUAAAGUGUGAUCGUGGAAUCAUGGCAAGGAAGAGAGUAUGAUCUAGGAAUUCGUUUGGAUUAUUUUUGUGUUUUGGUUAUUAGAACCGGUUAGGGCUGUUUUAGGAUUGUUAGUCAUUCUUGGUUUGUUGGUUGAAUCAUUUAUUUAUUCAUAAAAUAGUAUCUUUGACUUGCGGUUUAAUUGUUACUUUAUUGGUUGGUUUACUUAAGUAUUUAUGAGAAUAUAUAAUUUGUUGUAAACCACUUAAUGGAUGGACUCCAUAACCGUGGCCCAUGUCCUUAGAGGAUAGGUCCGUCAGCCCAUUGGUGUGACGGCCCAUCGACCGGUCGGCCCACCAGUCCAUCGGUCCAUCGGCCCGUCGGCCUGUCGGCCCGGCCCAUGGAGAGAAGCCACAGUCAGUCCGGCCCGUAGGUCCGGCCCAUGGAGACUAGAGUUAGGUCGGUCAUAUACUUAAGUAGUUAUGGGCUUUUGUAACCUAGCCCAUUAAACAUGUAACCUCCUCAAGUAUGUAUAUAUAUGUGAUGUAACCUCAUUUGAAUCAAUAAGAAACAAGUUAGUUCUUCACACGUUAUCAGCACGAGCUUGCUCUUAACAAAACCCUAGCAGCCGCCGCUCAACCCUAGCUCGUCCGCCGUCCGCCGUCCACCGUUCCGUCGACCGCCGGUCGACCGUUUGCUAUCUGCCUGUCGACCGACAGUACUUCCGUCGACCGCCGACUGUCGACCAGCGACCACCGUUUGAUAACCAAGGUCUUUAGCUCCUGGUUCCAGUCCGUACAACCCCAAAGGAGAAAGGUAAUUCAUUAAACCCUAAAGCUAAAGAACCCCAAUCAAACAUGGAUCUAACAAACGGCUAAAACCCUAAAAACGAAUGAUUGAUUAGUGUUUGCAAUAUGAUUGCUUGUUUGCUCGAUUGUUUGCCUUGUUAUUGCUUAUCCUAAACUCGCAAAUCGAAAACAUCAUAACCUAGAAUCCGAAACCCUAAAAGACAUAAACCCUAAAUCGAAAACACUACAAUCGGAUCAAAACCUUAAUUCUAUUUCGUGAUUGUUUGAAGUUGUCUAAGGUGUUUAGUUUGAUUGAUUUCAUGGUUGCAUGCAUGAAUUAUUGAAAUCCCUCAUGUUGCAUAAACCCUAAAACCAAAACCCUAAGGAAAAUAGAAAAUCGCUAAAAAGGAAAAUUUACCCUAAGACCGAAAAGGAAACUCUCCCAAGAGGAAAAGGAAAUAUAAUCCCUAGAGAAAGAGGAGAUUCUCCUAAAGAGAAAAAGGGAAAUUAUCCUAGAGAAAAGAGGAAAUUGUCCCAAGGGAAAGAGGAAAAGAGAAAGUCAAAUCCUUGAGUAAAUAGGAAAAUCGAUUUAUGGUCUUCAUGACAUUUACGAUUUGUCCAUUACAUGAUAUUGACUCAAAACUUCUUCAUUGUAGAUGUCGAAGCUCACAAACCUCAUGUACGCUGCACUCUUGGCAUCUGGUGACAAUUACCUUCAAUGGGCAUUGGACACCAAGAUUGAGUUAAAGUCUAAGGGACUCGCCGAGUGCAUUGUGGAAGGAAAUGAGAAAACGGAGAGGUCAAAGUAUCAGGCGAUCUCAAUCAUACGCCAUCACAUAGCAGAGAGCUUGAAAAAUCAGUACCUUACGGUCGAGGAUCCACUUGAGCUUUGGCUUGAGUUGAAGAAUCGAUACGACCACCAAAAGACCAUACAACUACCCAAAGCCCAACAUGAUUGGCUUAACCUCAGGAUCCAGGAUUACAAAUCCGUGGAGGAGUAUAACUCCGAGCUCUUUAAGAUUGUCUCUAUCCUGAGGCUGUGUGGUGAGAAGGUGACUGAGAAUGACAUGCUCGAGAAAACUUUCUCGACCUUUCACGCGAAUAACGUACUGCUUCAGCAACAGUACCGUGCGAAAGGGUUUACGACUUACACAAGUCUAGCCUCCUGCUUGCUUCUUGCUGAGAAGAACAAUGAGCUGUUACUCAUGAACAGCGCAUUGAGACCUCCCGGAUCCACAGCCGUGCCCGAAGCCAAUAGAGCCGAAAUGGCCAAAGCGCCUAAUGAACCUCAGGCGACCAAGGAAUCCAACUACGUCCAUAGGGGUAACCCUCACGGCCGUGGCCGUGGCAGAGGACGUGGUGGAAGAGGUCGUGGCAAUUUCUACGGCCAAGGAAACCACUAUGGUGGUAGAGGCCGUGGGAACUAUGGCCGAGGUAGGGGUAGAGGCCGCGGUGUUAACAAACCACGAGGAAAGGCUAAGUCCGUGUGCUAUAGGUGUGGCAUGGACGACCAUUGGGCAAAGACGUGCAGAACCUCUAAGCACCUCAUUGAGGCAUAUCAAGAGAUGAUAAAGCAAAAGGGACCCGAAGCCAAUUUGGUUCAUCUCGAUGGUGAAGGGGAUUUUGACCACGAGAACGAUGACCUAAUGGAUUAUGAGACUUCGGACAUCUUGGGAGAAUAGACAUCUAGUUUUAAAUUUGCUUUGUUUGCUUUGUUUUGUAGUUUGAUCUCUAUUGCUCGAUGUCUUGGAUUUAUUUAUUUUAAUGGAAUUGCUUUGCUUCAUUAUUGUUUGCUUUAUCACCUAAGAUAUAGUUCUUGUUCACAUUUAGAAAUGGCCGAGGACAAGGACAUACUCAUAGUGGACAGUGGCUCAAGCCACACGAUAUUGAGAGACAAAAGAUAUUUCAUAAAUCUAACAUUGAGAAAUGCCAACAUUAGCACUAUAGCGGGUAUAGCGAGUCUCAUUGAGGGCUACGGCCAAGCCCAUGUACUCUUACCAAACGGCACACAUCUUGAAAUAAGUGAUGAUUUGUAUUCACCCAGCUCAAAGAGGAGCUUGUUGAGUUUCAAAGACAUACGUCUUAAUGGUUUCCACGUUGAAACAAAGGGUGAAGGGAAUAGAGAAUUCCUACAUGUAACAGAGAUCGCCCAAGGACACAAGAAAGUCCUAGAAACUAUACCCGCAGUGUCCACUGGUCUUUACCAUACUAAGAUCAACAUGAUCGAAGCUAAUUUGGCAAUGAACAAAGAGUUCAUAGAGGAGUUCACUUUGUGGCAUGACCGGCUUGGCCAUCCGGGUCAUAACAUGAUGCGAAAGCUAAUGAUAAGUUCUAAGGGGCACACCCUAAAAGGAAAAAGAGUAAUCCCAAAGAAGCUCACGUGUGCUGCAUGUGCACAAGGGAAACUCAUAAUAAGGCCAUCACCGGCAAAGGUCAAUAACGAGACCAUAAACUUUCUGGAAAGGAUACAAGGGGACAUAUGUGGACCAAUACAUCCACCAUGUGGGACAUUUCGAUACUUCAUGGUCCUCAUUGACGCAUCGACAAGAUGGUCACAUGUUUGUCUGUUGUCCUCUAGGAACCAAGCAUUUGCUAGGUUACUGGCCCAGAUCAUUCGUCUGAGAGCCCAUUUUCCAGAUUUUCCGCUUAAGACUAUACGUCUAGAUAAUGCCGGUGAAUUCACGUCCCAAGCGUUUAAUGACUACUGUAUGUCCAUGGGGGUAAGUGUGGAACAUCCCGUGGCACAUGUACAUACACAGAACGGAUUAGCGGAAUCCUUCAUUAAACGAAUCCAAUUGAUAGCCCGACCAUUACUGAUGAGGUCGAGGCUCCCAGUAGCCGCUUGGGGACAUGCUGUAUUACAUGCAUCGGAACUUAUUCGUAUCAGGCCAUCUAGUGAACACAAAUAUUCACCAUCCCAAUUGUUAAUAGGUCAUGAGCCAGACAUAUCCCAUCUAAGGACAUUCGGGUGUGCCGUAUAUGUACCAAUUGCUCCACCACAGAGAACAAAGAUGGGACCUCAGAGGAGGAUGGGAAUAUAUGUUGGAUUUGAUUCUCCCACCAUUAUAAAGUAUCUAGAGCCAACAACGGGCGAUCUAUUUAAGGCUAGAUACGCGGAUUGUCACUUCAGUGAAUCCGAGUUCCCUGCAUUAGGUGGUGAGACGAACAAGCUGGGUAAAGAAAUAAAAGAGAUAGCAUGGAAUCAAACAUCCUUGAAUUGGCAAGAUCCUCGGACUCUGAUGUGCGAUUCAGAGGUCCAUAAAAUUAUACAUUUGCAAAAGCUAGCUAAUGAGUUGCCAGAUUCCUUUGCUGACUCAAAGAGAGUUGUGAAAUCGUACAUACCAGCUUGUAAUGCACCAGUACGUAUUGAUAUCCAGAAGGGAAUCAAUGUAAUUGCUACCGAGUCUAACCCACAGAAGAAACAUGGUAGACCAGUAGGUUCCAAAGAUAAAAAUCCUCGAAAGACUAAGAAAGGUGUAAUGGGAACCGAGGUAAAGGAAACCAUAGACAUGGCCGCGGCAAGUCCUAAGGAACCACCAAAUGAGAUUCGGGACGCCGAAGCUCAUGGUCCUGAAGGAAUUGAUAAUGAUGAGAUCUCAAUAAACUACAUCAUGUCUGGAAUAAAAUGGAACCGAAAAGAAGUCGACGUCGACGAGAAAUUUGCAUAUGAGGUAGCAUAUGAGAUAAGUGAGGAUCAUGAACCCACGUCUAUAAUAGAGUGCACUCAAAGGUCAGAUUGGCUAAAGUGGAAAGAAGCCAUUGACGUGGAGUUAGGUUCAUUAAAGAGAAGAGAUGUGUUUGGUCCAAUAUUGAGGACACCAUCUAAUAUAAAGCCAGUAGGACACAAGUGGGUCUUUGUGAGGAAGAGAAAUGAGAAAAACGAAAUCGUGAGGCAUAAGGCACGGCUUGUGGCACAAGGAUUCUCACAAAGACCGGGAGUAGAUUAUGAAGAGACAUACUCUCCUGUGGUGGAUGCAACGACUUUUAGAUAUCUAAUAAGUCUGGCAAUAAGAGAGAACCUUGACUUGCGAUUAAUGGAUGUUGUAACCGCAUAUCUAUAUGGUCCACUGGAUAAUGAGAUAUAUAUGAGAUUACCAGAGGGUAUUGAGCUCAAAGGAAAAGAUAAGAAUGGGUCUCGAGACCAAUACUGCAUAAGGCUGAACAGAUCGCUUUAUGGAUUGAAACAAAGUGGGCGCAUGUGGUACAAUAGGUUAAGUGAGUACUUAGUCAAAGAGGGCUAUAAAAAUGACCCCAUCAGUCCAUGCAUCUUCAUCAAGAAGUUUGCUAGCAAAGGAUUUGUGAUAAUAGCAGUAUAUGUGGAUGAUUUGAACAUCCUGGGAACCUCUGGGGAAAUCGCCCAAACAGUCGAAUAUCUAAAGAAAGAAUUCGAAAUGAAAGACCUAGGCAAGACAAAGUUCUGUUUGGGAUUGCAGCUUGAGUACAUAGAUAAAGGAAUCCUUGUGCAUCAAAAGGCAUAUACAGAAACAGUACUCAAGAGAUUUAAUAUGGACAAGGCCCACCCGUUGACCAGCCCAAUGCAGGUGAGGAGCCUAGGAUUGGAUAGUGAUCCAUUCGGUCCAAAGAAGGACGAUGAAGAAAUUCUCGGUCCUGAAAUGCCAUAUCUCAGUGCCAUAGGAGCGUUGAUGUAUCUGUCUAGCCACACUAGACCGGACAUAUGUUUUGCCGUGAACCUCCUCUCUAGAUUCAGUUCUUGUCCGACCAAGAGGCACUGGGAAGGAAUCAAGCAUUUGCUUCGAUACCUACAAGGGACAAUUGAUUUUGGUUUAUAUUAUACUAACCAUAACAAAGAAGGUUUAGUUGGUUUUGCUGAUGCAGGAUAUCUUUCAGAUCCGCACAAUGGAAAGUCACAAACGGGUUAUGUAUUUAUUCAUGGUGGAACCGCGAUAUCCUGGAGAUCAAUGAAGCAGACCAUCGCGGCCACUUCCUCUAACCACGCGGAGAUAUUGGCAAUGCACGAGGCCAGCCGCGAGUGUGUGUGGUUGAGGUCAAUGACUCAACACAUACGAGCCGAUUGUGGAAUGGUCGAAGACAAGGAGCCGACUAUCAUAUACGAGGACAACGCGGCAUGCAUUGCUCAGCUCAAGGAAGGAUACAUCAAGGGAGAUCGGACGAAGCACAUUCUGCCCAAGUUCUUCUACACGCAUGACCUACAGAAGGAUGGUGAAGUUAAGGUGGUGCAAGUACGUUCAAGCGACAAUUCAGCCGAUCUAUUCACCAAAGCAUUACCAGCAACGACAUUGAGGAAGCUCGCGCAUCAGAUUGGGAUGCGGAGGCUUAAGGACUUAUAGGGAUGACCAAUUCAGGGGGAGUAAUGCGUGCUGUACUCUUUUUCCUCACUAUGGUUUUGUCCCAAAAGGGUUUUCCUAGUAAGGUUUUAAUGAGGCAGCAUCCCCCUAGCGCAUUACUGAGAUCCCGUUGGCAUCUACACGGUUAUGUCAUCCAAGGGGGAGUGUUGUAAACCACUUAAUGGAUGGACUCCAUAACCGUGGCCCAUGUCCUUAGAGGAUAGGUCCGUCAGCCCAUUGGUGUGACGGCCCAUCGACCGGUCGGCCUACCAGUCCAUCGGUCCAUCGGCCCGUCGGCCUGUCGGCCCGGCCCAUGGAGAGAAGCCACAGUCAGUCCGGCCCAUAGGUCCGGCCCAUGGAGACUAGAGUUAGGUCGGUCAUAUACUUAAGUAGUUAUGGGCUUUUGUAACCUAGCCCAUUAAACAUGUAACCUCCUCAAGUAUGUAUAUAUAUGUGAUGUAACCUCAUUUGAAUCAAUAAGAAACAAGUUAGUUCUUCACAUAAUUAUGUUUAAAAAAUAAAAAACAGGUCGGGUUGUUUCAAAUUUUCCGCUUUUAUAUUCGCUCAUUUU